GAGCCCUACGGGGGGCAGCAGUGGGGAAUAUUGCACAAUGGGGGAAACCCUGAUGCAGCAACGCCGCGUGAGUGAAGAAGUCAUUCGUGAUGUAAAGCUCUAUCAGCAGGGAAGAAAAUGACGGUACCUGAGUAAGAAGCCCCGGCUAACUACGUGCCAGCAGCCGCGGUAAUACGUAGGGGGCAAGCGUUAUCCGGAUUUACUGGGUGUAAAGGGAGCGUAGACGGCUGCGCAAGUCAGAAGUGAAAGCCCGGGGCUCAACCGCGGGACUGCUUUUGAAACUGUGUAGCUAGAGUGCAGGAGAG
rnacentral:rRNA from 1 species